UGAGACCCAGACCACACGGCUAAUUAGAAGAUAUCAGAAGACGUGAAGAAGGACCAGAGUUUUAUGUCUUUCCUGGAAGAGCUUUAGAAGUCUGGAAGAAGCAAACUUCCUCCUCUCCCUCCCUCCUUUUUGGAUGCUAUGAAUAUAUUUCUGCUUGGAGGCAGGCGGCUGGAUUAGCUAACCUCUUCAGGUCUUUUCCAGCCCUGUGCUUUUCCACCCCAGCUCCAUGCAUCUCAGAGGGCCUGGAAGUGAGUCUGAGCAUACCUUAAUGAGAGGGCCCUCUAAGGGGUCAGACAAAGAAAGCCUGAAGAGACUGUCCUUUCUCCUUUUGGAAACUGAACUAAUGGCAGUGGCCAGGUCCCAGUUCCAGGUUGCCCUCACCACCUGUCUUCUCUGCUCCUGCUCAUGUGCUGCUGAAUGCAGUUGAAGAAAGUCAGAGAAGUAUAUCAACUAGAUCCACCACAAAUUGAUGUUAUCUAGUGUCAAUGGGACUUUACUGCUGCAGAACAAUCCUUUUAUUCAUCCAUCAUAGGCUCUCCAUCAUACUCCCUACAGCAGAUAUUCUAAGCCUUCUCUUUUCUUCUCAAACCUCUUAUAUCACCUUUUCCCUCUAAGCAAAGGAGUUUACCUCCCACUUUACUGAGAAAAUCAAGCCAAUUCACCCCGAGCUCCUUCUUCUCCCCUAUUCCAUACCUCAAAUUUCUUCCACUUAAUCACAAUUGUCCCCUCUGUUUCAGACUCUGAUGAAGGAGAGGUUCUUCUUCUUGUCAAGGCCAGUCCCUAUAUUGGUGCCCUUGACUUCACCCCCUUUCCUCUUCUCCAGGAAUUCCCCUUUUUUAUCUUCCCUACCCCACCCCCUCUAAUCUUCGGGCUGAUCUUCUAUCUCUCCUGUUAUCUGCAAACAAGCUCAGGUCUCCUCUGUCCUUAAAUGAGGGAGGGAGGGUGGCCGCAAGGGAGGCAGAUUUGGUCCCAGUCACAGGAUAUAAUCAUAGAUGAUCAGGUGUUAAUGUUUUAACAAGGUGUUAACACCCUUUAAUCCUUUUAUGAAGAAUGAACACCUCCUGAGUGAGUCAAAAUGUCCAUACUAUGGCCUGGGCUUUAAAUAGCUCAGCCCUAGAGACAGUUGGCAAUUUGGAUGAAUGGGGAAGAAUGCUGAUUUCCACCUUGGACUUUUCUCUCCUUCCCUCCCCUGAACCCCAUUGACCAUGAAGUCUACUGGGCAGAGGUAUCUUAUCUGGCACUUAUCUAGCACCAAAAAGAGAUACCUUAUCUAAUACUUAAAGUCAGUUUGAGAAAGCUUGAGGUGCAGUUGAAGAAGCAGAGACACAUAUCUCAGACAGACAUGGAUACAGAGAGGCAAGUCACCCAAGGCCAGAAGCAGCUUGAGUGAGAAGUGAGACCUUGGCAAUCAUGAGGUGAACUGCAGAGAGGACUCCAUGAAGAGUGGAGAGAGAAAUGAUUUCGAAGCCUGACUUAUCAGAGUUUUGGGCCACACGUACCUCACUACCAUUGUACUCCAGGUUUGUACCCACUCUUCCCAAAUACAUUGUGGAGAGUAAGGCCUAGGCAUGUAGAGGAAAUACUUGGAGCUUCUGUUGUUACUGUGCUAUCUUGGUAAAUACCCUUGCUAUGAGCUAGUUGUGUCUACUGGCUAAUUGCUAAGAGGAUACACAUUAGGCGGGGGUCUUGAGCUAUGGAAGGAAGAGUCUAGACCUACAGGAAAACUGUGGAGCUUGUGGAAGCAUCAGUCACCUUCUGGGGAAUGAGAGUUUAGGCUGGGGAAGUAUCCCAGAGGGGUGUUUCACUUACAAAAACCUUCACUUGAUUCUGCUAUUGUCUCAAACUUAUCUGUUUUGGCAAAGUCCUAGAAUGAGUUGUACACACUGGUUGUCUCCAUUUCUUCACUCCCCUCUUGUUUCUCUAUCCCUCUAAAUCUGGCUUCCCACCCUAAGAAUUUGAUUAAGGUUGCCAACUAGCUCUUAACAUCUAAACCCAAUGGCCUUUUUGUCAGUCCUUAUCAUCUCACCUUAACAACUUUGGAUGUUAUUGAUUGCCUCCUUGUCUUCCAUGACUUUGUUGUUGCUGUUCAGUCAC